GAAAUAUGUAGAUUCAAAUAAAAGCUUCUAACUUUUUAUUUUUAACGAUUUAAUUUCGUUUAUAUUUCU
rnacentral:tRNA from 1 species